rnacentral:rRNA from 1 species
CCUACGGGAGGCAGCAGUGGGGAAUAUUGGACAAUGGGCGCAAGCCUGAUCCAGCAAUGCCGCGUGAGUGAUGAAGGCCUUAGGGUCGUAAAGCUCUUUUACCAGGGAUGAUAAUGACAGUACCUGGAGAAUAAGCUCCGGCUAACUCCGUGCCAGCAGCCGCGGUAAUACGGAGGGAGCUAGCGUUGUUCGGAAUUACUGGGCGUAAAGCGUACGUAGGCGGUUAUUCAAGUCAGAGGUGAAAGCCCGGGGCUCAACCCCGGAACGGCCUUUGAAACUAGGUAGCUAGAAUCUUGGAGAGGUCAGUGGAAUUCCGAGUGUAGAGGUGAAAUUCGUAGAUAUUCGGAAGAACACCAGUGGCGAAGGCGACUGACUGGACAAGUAUUGACGCUGAGGUACGAAAGCGUGGGGAGCAAACAGGAUUAGAUACCCUGGUAGUCCACGCCGUAAACGAUGAUAACUAGCUGUUCGGGCACUUGGUGCUUGAGUGGCGCAGCUAACGCAUUAAGUUAUCCGCCUGGGGAUACGGUCGCAAGNUUAAAACUCAAAGGAAUUGACGG